GGGAACAUUCCCUAAGGCUCCUCUCCAUCUGUGUGUCCUUGGCGAUCUCCCUGCCUUGGUGAAGAGAAAGCAAAACGUCUUACCUGGAGAAUUGUGGUGAGAACCAGGAGAGGUCAUCUAUGUAUGUGGCAACUGAAACUGACUUGCUCCCUUCAGAGAAGAGAGCCACAUGAGAUUCUGAACCAUGAAGGACCCUGCUCCCAUGCCUGGU